UCUACGGGACGCAGCAGUGAGGAAUCUUGCGCAAUGGACGAAAGUCUGACGCAGCGAUGCCGCGUGGGGGAUGAAGGCCUUCGGGUCGUAAACCCCUUUGAGUGGGAAAGAAUCGCCGCGGGGUGAACAAUCCCGCGGCCCGACGGUACCCACAGAACAAGCCACGGCUAACUCUGUGCCAGCAGCCGCGGUAAGACAGAGGUGGCGAGCGUUGUUCGGAUUUACUGGGCGUAAAGCGUGGGUAGGCGGUCCGGUCAGUCAGAUGUGAAAUCCCAUCGCUCAACGAUGGAACGGCGUCUGAUACUGCCGGACUUGAGUGCAGGAGAGGAGGGUGGAAUUUCCGGUGUAGCGGUGAAAUGCGUAGAGAUCGGAAGGAACACCAGUGGCGAAGGCGGCCCUCUGGACCGCAACUGACGCUGAGACACGAAAGCGUGGGGAGCAAACAGGAUUAGAUACCCUGGUAGUCCACGCCCUAAACGAUGGGCACUAAGUGUGGGAGGUAUCGACCCCUCCCGUGCCGCACCUAACGGAGUAAGUGCCCCGCCUGGGGAGUACGGCCGCAAGGUUGAAACUCAAAUGAAUUGACGGA
rnacentral:rRNA from 1 species